ensembl:lncRNA
AUGUUAAAUGGUAUCUAUUGUAACCGUAUCUUUCAGUGUUGCAAAAAAAAAAAAAACCCUAAAACGCAGACGACGUUUUUACUCCAAAUGGGCGUGGUGUUGAAUGCAGUUUCUUUCUUCUGUGUCCUAGGAAACCCUGUGUUUACAGCGACGUCCAUUGAAACAAAUGCUACAGCAUAUAGUUCCAAUCGUCCCCUCGAGUUCUACACAGCAUCCAGUAUCAGAAUGCAUGGAAAUAAAGCAAGAAGAUUCACAAAGAUGCAAUAUCAAGAUCCACAAGACAAUGAAAUGGUUGAGAGGACAUAUAUCUCCUCUGAAAAACACACCAUCAACAGCAUAUUAAGGAACCUUGUCAGUAAUGUUGAGUUCAUUGCGAUUCUGCCUGGGGUCCUAAAGGUAAACUGGGACACUGAUGUCAUGGACAGUGAGGUGAUCAGAGCACUUCAGGAACAUCUAAUGUUAGAACAAAGGCUGGAGAUGCUAGAAGAUCGCAACUUGGUGUCAGAUGGGAAGAAUGAGAAUACUCAUCUUGAGAAAAAUCUGAAGAUCUCUUUGAAAAAUUUGCUCAGGCUCGUGAAAGCCCAUCCGCUUCUCCUUUCUGCUUGGAAGAAAGACUUGCCAAAGGAAAUAGGGAAAUGUGAAAGGUGCCUAAUCAAAGAGAUUCAUGUAUUGGAAGGUCUGGAACCCAGGCCACAGCAAGCUGCUCCUAAACUGCUACCUGUUUCCUAUGAGCUGAACGAUACUCCUUUACUACAAGACUUUCCUGCAACAAUAGAAGAAGUAACUACAAAGCAGAUUUUUCAGAAGAGUCAAGACAUUGAAACUUUGCAGAGUUCUCUGCAAAAGCAAAGAGGAGAGGAGAGUGCAUUGGAGGAGCAGCUACAGACCACUAUUGAGGAAUUGGAGACAGUGCAGAAAAAAUUACUUCAGGAAGUUGAUCAAAUGAGCACUGAGCUAAAUGAUCUAACACUGAGAAACUUUGAAGAAGAAGCUGCACUUCGACGAGAAAUCGUCAUGGUUGAUGCAGCUACUGCUCAUUUGAUUGAAGAUUUUGAUGAAGCAAUAGAGGCCCUGCAGGCUAGCUUGGAGCUGAACACAAUGAAGUAUGAGCAAGAAGUGGAAGAAGUGAAAAAGUUGGAGAUGCUUUAUUCUGAACUAGAUGUGGAUUACAGAUACAUUUUGGAGAAACACCGGCAGGUAGAGGAGAAGAAGGUGAAGGAAGAAAAGGAGCUGGUGUUAAAGACAGAAGCUGCUCUUCUUAUCCAAGCAUGGUGGAGGAGUUUCUAUGUCCGCAAGGCCAUUAAGGGGAGAGAGAAAAAAGCAAAGGCAAAAAGGGCAAAAAAGUGAAAGCCUUGAAUGAAAGACAGAAAAUAGGCAAAGGCCAAAAGGACACAAAAGGCAAAGCAAAAGCCAUUGGCAAGAAGACAUGUAAAGCACUUUGCUGCUAAAGAAAUUAUUUCAAAGGUUCCAAUAGGCUUUAACACCAAGACCAAUAUUUUUUAAUUGUGAUGACUAGAUCUGUCUUCCUUUUAUUCACCAUAUGAUAAGUUUAAAUAUCAUGUGGACCUAAGCAAAUCUACAUUGUAAUAAUGAAAGAAAUACUUCAAUUUUUAGCAAUUAAUACAUUAUACAGAAGUGAAUGCAACAUGAUCAUAUGGAAUAAACUUAACUCUUCUGUCAAUGACAAAAUAUAUUGACAUUCUCAAUUUUUAAAAGAAGGGACAAAAUGAAGGGAUGCUUGGACAGACAGUUUAUUCUGAUGGAUCUCAGCACAUACUGAGAUAAAUGUUGCUCAUUCCCUCGUCUCCAUGGAGAUCCAUCAGAUCUGGCAAUGUGUGGACAAAUGUGUCACUGUGAUUAUCCUGAUACGAGAGGAUGCUCUAAUCCAGCAUUGCUCAGAUAAUGCCCCCCCCCCCCUUUCUUUACAGGUAAAAAUCUGUUACACUGUUGACCUAGCUGACUUAGUCAGAGAUGUGACUGAGGCUUCUUGAAGGCUGUGCUUACCAUAGCCAACUGACUGACCCUCGACGUUUGGAGAGGGCACUAGUGCAGUAGCUCACAGCUGAGAAAACGUCCUAGUUCCCAAUGUAGUUAACCGGGUCCCUCUCUUAUUCUCGUGACUUGCAACACACCGAGCACGUUUGGGCACAGCCCCAACACAUUCCCGCCUCUGACUUGAUUAAAGUACAAGAGGAAGCGUGACAGAGGAUACUACAACCUGGACAAUUGAGUUGGUCAAUGUCUUGGCAGCUCUUGUAACAGAAUCUGCAAUCGUGCUGUAUUCUCUGUUAACCCUCCACAUUCUUUAUCCCAUAAUAAUGUCCCUGAAACAACAGAAUAAACAGUGGGUCGCCGCAACGGGGGUAAGCCGACACAGAUGGGCGUAGAGCCCUGUCAUCAGACCCCCUGUAACGCACCAUGAUUUUACGCUGAAGGACACGUUCAAAUUUCUCAAUGUCCAAAAGGUCAUGAUCUGCCCCUCCUCCAGACCGGCGAGAUGCUCUCUCCCCCUUUCCAAAGCCUCUUCGCGCAUGAGGUCAGGUUGUAACAGGGGGUCCAAGUUCAUGAAGAAGCAGAGGAGAGUCUGAAUCAACUCACACCUAGAGUGUGAGUUGAUUCGGACUCUCCUCUCCGAUGUUUCUCGGGUGGAAAAAGACACUUCUAGAGACAAUUUUAAUAUGUGAGUUGAAGGACAGAUCUGAUCACAUGUUAUGUUGGGGCACAUGUGAGAAAAAAAACAGCACAACCCAUCAGCACAUCCCGAGUGAUUGCAAGUUAGCCCAGAUUUUCUCCAAGUCUCUGUUAAUUCCAGUUGAUGCAGCUAUAUGAACAUGUGCCAAAACAUUUGUCAAAGGUCACCUGGGAAAAUAUCACUUUAAUCUUUUAGGAUCUUUACGAGUGAAAAAGAUCAAAGACACAAAACAAAAGCAUAUUAAGGCUUCAAUCUGCUUUCAAGAUGGUUUUGUUACUGGCUUUAACAAUAAUUUAAACACUGC